AGCGCCACGUCGGAGGCGGGGGUGACAUCAGCCCGCGACGUCCGGCGCCGUCCUUCCGGGGUCAGCGGCGGAGGCGGGGCGGAGGCGGGCUGGGGACUGGCUGAGGCUCCGGUGGGUAGGUGGGCUCAGCCCGAGGGGACUACGGGUCGGCGUUGGGCUCAGCGGGCUCGAACAAAGGCCUCUCGGGCAGAGACGCGGCGCGGCGCCUCCUGCGGGUAGCUGGGCGGCCGGCCGCGGCUUCCCGGCCCGCCAGUGCCCUCCCCGCGCGGUCCCCGUCGGCUUCUCCUCGGAUCCCCGCGGCCAGCGCCGCGGUGCGGGGCCCGGCGCAGCGGCACCUGCUGCUGGGGGACCCCGCGGCCCGCCCGGGUGCUCGUGAUGGGGCUGAUCUUCGCCAAACUGUGGAGCCUCUUCUGUAACCAAGGGCAACAAAGUGUCCAGCUAAAAACCAUCACUUUCCUGGGCUCAUUAGAAGAAGACACGUGACGCAGUUCUGAGAUGUGAGUGGCAGUCUGCUGGGGGCAUCAAGGAGGGCUUCCCACCUGGGACACAUGUGGCCCUGGGUGAGGUAAAGAGCAGAACAAGAGCCUCGGCUCAAGUUGAAGCAGGAAGACAGAAGAAGGGGAGCCUGGGCCCGAGACAUAUCAUCCAAGAGUUCUGAUUGCCCAUUCUUGGCGUGUUGGUGGAAUGAAACCAAGAACCCCCAUCUGUGAAAUCCAUUUUUCAAGUUCUUUGUUGAUUUGCACCAAAUGCAGACACUGGUACCCCUAGAGACAACAAUGAGAUGGCUUGUCAUCUUUUUCUGUCUCUUGAAGCGACCUUUUCAGACAGGGAAAAAGCUCAUGGAAAUGGAAAGCUAGAAUUAGGAGGCCCGGUGACCAUUUAAUUUCCCAGUCACUCCCUGAGUCACUCUGGGUGAAUCACUGUGUAAACAGGUGUGUGAGUCAUCUGUAUCUGCAUAACCCAUUAACACAAGUCAGGCUGUAGACAAGACACGUUUAUUCUCCCACAGUUUCUGUGGGUCAGGAGUCCAAGCAUGGCUCACAUGGGCUUCUGCUCCAGGGUCUCAUCAGGUUACCAUCCAGGUGUCAUCCAGCGCAGGGGUUUCUUUUGAUGACUGGGCGGCAGAAGGGCCCCCUUUUAAGUUCAUGAGGUCCUUGGCAUCUAAUAAAUUCAAAUCCCACAGGGUGACAGGGUAGCAUCCCAUAUUUGACUGAUCAGAAGCGAAUCACAGGUCCUACCCACACUCAAAGGGAGGGGAUAUCAUAAGGGUAUGUGGAUGAUUGGGGACCAUAAGGUACAAGAGUGAGAAAUGAUGUGGGUAAAUAUGACAGUUAACAUUCCAAAGGCUGUGGUUUUCAUCCACAUUCUUUUCAGAGGCAGUAGAGAAGAUGGAGCUUCUUACAGCAUUUUUCUUCAUCUCCUAGUAACUCUCUCUGGUUUUAAAGUCCUCCUGGAGUUAGCUACAGAUAUUACCCAUCAAAGGAUAUAUUUAACAUUUAAUAUUUAUUCAGAAUCUUGCAUAUCAGUCUACACUAUUGGGAAUUUUUGAAAAAUUUAAUUCUCAUUCAUCUGACCCUAAAAUUGAGAACAUACCCUUUGUAAUUUGAGAUUGAAGGGUAUUUGAUAAAGUAGAUAACCAGCAAACAUUUUUUUUUACUCCACACACCAGCAUCUUUGUUGAGUAGCUCACUACUCAACAAGGAUGCUGACAGCCAUAGAAGUUCCACACAGUUUUGGCUCACUCGUAAAUAUAAAUGGACAGCCAGAGUUACCUGACAUUGGAGGAAAACACCUAACCCAUAAUACAGAGAAAAAAAAAUAUAAAGGAGAAGAGGAUAGCACAAUCCUGAGAAUCAGAGGAAGCUGCAAAAAUUACUAUAAAUAAUAUACUCAGAGAAAUAAAAAAGUAUUGCAUCAAUGGAAUACUAUGCAGCCAUAAAAAUAAUAAAAUAAUGCCACUUGCAGCAA